GUGCUCGCUUUGGCAGCACAUAGACUAAGAUUAGAGCGAUACAGAGAAGAUUAGCAUGGCCCCUGAGCAAGGGUGACAAGUUCGUGAAGCGUUCUAUAUUAAA